rnacentral:rRNA from 1 species
GACGGAAGGUGCAAGCGUUGCUCGGAAUCACUGGGCGUAAAGGGUGCGUAGGCGGCUGUGCAAGUCUGGCGUGAAAGCCCCGGGCUCAGCCCGGGAAGUGCGCUCGAAACUGCACGGCUCGAGUGCCGGAGGGGAGAGUGGAAUUCCUGGUGUAGCGGUGAAAUGCGUAGAUAUCAGGAGGAACACCGGUGGCGAAGGCGGAUCUCUGGGCCUUACCUGACGCUGAGGCGCGAAAGCUAGGGGAGCAAACAGG